rnacentral:rRNA from 1 species
UACGAAGGUCCCAAGCGUUGUUCGGAAUCACUGGGCGUAAAGGGAGCGUAGGCUGCCGGGUCAGUCAGAUGUGAAAGGCAGAGGCUCAACCUCUGGACUGCAUUUGAUACUGCCUGGCUAGAGUAUUGGAGAGGAGAUUGGAAUUCUCGGUGUAGCAGUGAAAUGCGUAGAUAUCGAGAGGAAGACCAAUGGCGAAGGCAAAUCUCUGGACAAUGACUGACGCUGAGGCUCGAAGGCCAGGGGAGCGAAAGGG